GGUGUUGAGGUUUAUGAAGUUGA
rnacentral:siRNA from 1 species